rnacentral:rRNA from 1 species
UAGGGAAUCUUCCGCAAUGGACGCAAGUCUGACGGAGCAACGCCGCGUGAGUGAAGAAGGAUUUCGGUUCGUAAAACUCUGUUGUUAGAGAAGAACAGCGCAUAGAGUAACUGUUAUGCGUGUGACGGUAUCUAACCAGAAAGCCACGGCUAACUACGUGCCAGCAGCCGCGGUAAUACGGAGGUGGCAAGCGUUGUCCGGAUUUAUUGGGCGUAAAGCGAGCGCAGGCGGUCAAUUAAGUCUGAUGUGAAAGCCCCCGGCUCAACCGGGGAGGGUCAUUGGAAACUGUUUAACUUGAGUGCAGAAGGGGAGAGUGGAAUUCCAUGUGUAGCGGUGAAAUGCGUAGAUUUAUGGAGGAACACCGGUGGCGAAAGCGGCUCUCUGGUCUGUAACUGACGCUGAGGCUCGAAAGCGUGGGGAGCGAACAGG